CUUUCUCGGCAGCGCCGUAGAGCGCGAGCAGAUGGUGCAGCAUGGCGCACAGCGGAGGCCGCGGGCGGCCGAACCCGGCGUGUCCUUGGGCUCUUCCAGGUGCAACAAAACCUGUCUCAUUUGAAGGUGCUUGAACAAAUAUUUUCUAAACACUUGUCAUGGAGAGUGAUUGAAACAAGCUGCCAGGACUACAUUUGCCAAUAACAAGCAUGUAGGUGGCUGUAGUGGAUGUCCAACUUUGGGAGCUGUGAUGUCUAAAAACCCUUUAUUGUUUUGGGUGCAGCUUACAUAUUGGAAGGUAAAAUGAAGGCCAUGAACAAAGUCAAGAAGCCAUAAACAGAAGCAAAUGGUGAAAAUUAAUAUCUUAAUUUAAUAUUAAUAAGUUGUAUAUAAAUAAACAGUUAUUCUUAAUUGCUGUGGGCAGUAAUUUCUUUAAAAUGUCAUUCUCGUAGUAAAAUAAACUCGUCUUUCAUGA
ensembl:lincRNA Snhg6 small nucleolar RNA host gene 6